AUCCAACUGACGAGUCCCAAAUAGGACGAAGUGGCGUGCAUCCUGGAU
rfam:Schistosoma margrebowiei strain Zambia genome assembly, scaffold: SMRZ_contig0000434